AGAGUUUGAUCAUGGCUCAGGAUAAACGCUAGCGGCAGGCCUAACACAUGCAAGUCGAGGGGCAUCGGAUAGAGUACUUCGGUACUCUUGCCGGCGACCGGCGGACGGGUGCGUAACGCGUAUGCAACCUACCUUCAACAGGGGGGAUAAUCCGAAGAAAAUUUGGUCUAAUACCCCAUAAUAUUCCGACAGGCAUCUGUCGGAGUUGAAAGCUUCGGUGGUUGGAGAUGGGGCAUGCGUUGUAUUAGCUAGAUGG
rnacentral:rRNA from 1 species